UUGUUGGAGAGUUUGAUCCUGGCUCAGGACGAACGCUGGCGGCGUGCUUAACACAUGCAAGUCGAACGCUGAAGCACUUUCGGGUGUGGAUGAGUGGCGAACGGGUGAGUAACACGUGGGUAAUCUGCCCUGCACUCUGGGAUAAGCCUUGGAAACGGGGUCUAAUACCGGAUACGACACAUGAAGGCAUCUUUGUGUGUGGAAAGUUCUGGCGGUGCAGGAUGAGCCCGCGGCCUAUCAGCUUGUUGGUGGGGUGAUGGCCUACCAAGGCGACGACGGGUAGCCGGCCUGAGAGGGUGACCGGCCACACUGGGACUGAGACAC
rnacentral:rRNA from 1 species